ensembl:lncRNA
CCUACCCCCUGUGGUGUGUCUUCCUCUAUCCUGUCCUCCUACCCCCUGUGGUGUGUCUUCCUCUAUCCUGUCCUCCUACCCCCUGUUGUGUCUUCCUCUAUCCUGUCCUCCUACCCCCUGUUGUGUCUUCCUCUAUCCUGUCCUCCUACUCCCUGUUGUGUCUUCCUCUAUCCUGUCCUCCUACCCCCUGUGGUGUGUCUUCCUCUAUCCUGUCCUCCUACCCCCUGUGGUGUGUCUUCCUCUAUCCUGUCCUCCUACCCCCUGUGGUGUGUCUUCCUCUAUCCUGUCCUCCUACUCCCUGUUGUGUGUCUUCCUCUAUCCUGUCCUCCUACUCCCUGUUGUGUCUUCCUCUAUCCUGUCCUCCUACUUCCUGUUGUGUCUUCCUCUAUCCUGUCCUCCUACCCCCUGUUGUGUCUUCCUCUAUCCUGUCCUCCUACUCCCUGUUGUGUCUUCCUCUAUCCUGUCCUCCUACUUCCUGUUGUGUCUUCCUCUAUCCUGUCCUCCUACCCCCUGUUGUGUGUCUUCCUCUAAACUCACUGACCUGCAUCUACCCCCUUACUCACAGAAGGUUUACAUUUACCACCUCAUUCUUCCUUUCCCACAGUUACAGCACAACCAACAUUCAUUAUCUUAUCUAAAUAUGGGGACUCAAUCAUUCAAUCAGUAAGAAAUGUCCCUGACACCACCUGCCUAAUAUUUUGUAGGUCCCCUUUUUGCCUCCAAAUCAGCACUGAUCCGUCGAGGCAUUAACUCCACUAGACCUCUGAAGGUGUGCUGUGGAAUCUGGCACCAAGUCGUUAGCAGCAGAUCCUUUAAGUCCUGUAAUUUGCGAGGCCUCCAUGGAUUGGACCUGUUUGUCCAGCACAUCCCACAGAUGGCUGAUUGGAUUGAAAUCUAGGGAAUUUGGAGGCCAAGUCAACACCUUGAACUCAUUGUUGUGUUCCUCAAACCAUUCCUGAACCAUUUUUGCUUUGUGGCAGGGUGCAUUAUCCUGCUGAAAGAGGCCAAUGCCAUCAGGGAAUACAAUUGCCAUGAAAGGGUGCACAUGGUCUGCAACAAUGAUUAGUGCAGUGUGGUGCCAUGUGUUCUCCAGGUAAGUGAUGCACCUAGCCAUCCACAUGAUGUAAAAUAAAAUGUGAUUCAUCAAACCAGACCACCUUCUUCCUUUGCUCCGUGGUCCAGUUCUGAUGCUCAUGUGCCCACUGUAGGCACUUUCAAGACAGGCGUCAGCAUGGGCACCAUGACUGGUCUGCGGCUACGCAGCCCCAUAUGCAACAAACUGCAUUGCACUGUGUGUUCUGACACCUUUCUAUCAGUACCAGCAUUAACGUUUUUCAUCAUUUUGAGCUACUGUUGGAUCAGACCACAGGGGCCAGCCUUCGCUCCCCACAUGCAUCAGUAAGCCUUGGCCGCCCAUGACCGUGUCGCGGUUCACCAAUUUUCCUUCCUUGGACCACUUUUGAUAGGUCCUGACCACUGCAGACCGUGAACACCCCACAAGGGCUGCAGUUUUGGAGAUGUUCUGACCCAGUCGUCUAGCCAUCACAAUUUGGCCCUAGUCAAAGUCGCUCAGAUCCUUACACUUGCCCACUUUUCCUGCUUCUAACACAUCAACUUUGGGGACAGAAUGAGACAAAGAGUAUCAGUGUUAUUCACUUCACCUGUCAGUGGUCAUAACGUUAUGGCUGAUCAGUAUAUACAGUAUCUCAUAAAUGUGAGUACACCCCUCACAUUUUUGUAAAUAUUUGUAAAUAUCUUUUCAUGUGACAACACUGAAGAAAUGACACUUUGCAAAAAUGUAAAGUAGUGAGUGCACAGCUUGUAUAACAGUGUAAAUUUGCUGUCCCCUCAAAAUAACACAACACACAGCCAUUAAUGUCUAAACUGCUGGCAACAAAAGUGAGUACACCCCUAAGUGGUGGCCAACUACAAGAAACAUCUGACCUCUGUGAUUGCCAACAAGGGUUUUGCCACCAAGUACUAAGUCAUGUUUUGCAGAGGGGUUGAAUACUUAUUUCACUCACUAAAAUGCAAAUCAAUGUAUAUAUUUUUUUAAUAACGUGUUUUUCUGGAUUCUUUUGUUGUUAUUCUGUCUCUCACUGUUCAAAUAAACCUACUGACUGAUAAUUUCUUUGUCAGUGGUGAAACAUACAAAAUCAACAGGGGAUCAAAUAUUAUUUUCCCUCAC